rnacentral:rRNA from 1 species
GCGCGCAAAUUACCCACUCCCGGCACGGGGAGGUAGUGACGAAAAAUAACGAUACGGGACUCAUCCGAGGCCCCGUAAUCGGAAUGAGUACACUCUAAACCCUUUAACGAGGAUCAAUUGGAGGGCAAGUCUGGUGCCAGCAGCCGCGGUAAUUCCAGCUCCAAUAGCGUAUAUUAAAGUUGUUGCGGUUAAAAAGCUCGUAGUCGAAUCUGUGUCUCGCGCCGCCGGUUCAUCGCUCGCGGUGUUUAACUGGCGUGCCGCGGGACGUCCUGCCGGUGGGCUUAGCCCCGGUUCGUCCGGGGCGGCCCAACAUCAAAUCCCACCGCGGUGCUCUUCACUGAGUGUCGAGGUGGGCCGGCACGUUUACUUUGAACAAAUUAGAGUGCUUAAAGCAGGCUCAAACUUCGCCUGAAUACUGUGUGCAUGGAAUAAUGGAAUAGGACCUCGGUUCUAUUUUGUUGGUUUUCGGAACCCCGAGGUAAUGAUUAAUAGGAACGGACGGGGGCAUUCGUAUUGCGACGUUAGAGGUGAAAUUCUUGGAUCGUCGCAAGACGAACAGAAGCGAAAGCAUUUGCCAAGAACGCUUUCAUUGAUCAAGAACGAAAGUUAGAGGUUCGAAGGCGAUCAGAUACCGCCCUAGUUCUAACCAUAAACGAUGCCAGCUAGCGAUCCGCCGACGUUCCUCCGAUGACUCGGCGGGCAGCUUCCGGGAAACCAAAGCUUUUGGGUUCCGGGGGAAGUAUGGUUGCAAAGCUGAAACUUAAAGGAAUUGACGGAAGGGCACCACCAGGAGUGGAGCCUGCGGCUUAAUUUGACUCAACACGGGAAACCUCACCAGGCCCGGACACCGGAAGGAUUGACAGAUUGAGAGCUCUUUCUUGAUUCGGUGGGUGGUGGUGCAUGGCCGUUCUUAGUUGGUGGAGCGAUUUGUCUGGUUAAUUCCGAUAACGAACGAGACUCUAGCCUGCUAACUAGGCGUAUUUUCGACAUCUCAAAGGCCCGCCGGCUCGGCACUCUAGUGUCGCGGUCGCGCGCGGUUUUUACUGUCGGCGUACAAUCAAUUCUUCUUAGAGGGACAGGCGGCUUCUAGCCGCACGAGAUUGAGCAAUAACAGGUCUGUGAUGCCCUUAGAUGUUCUGGGCCGCACGCGCGCUACACUGAAGGAAUCAGCGUGUCCUCCCUGGCCGAGAGGCCCGGGUAACCCGCUGAACCUCCUUCGUGCUAGGGAUUGGGGCUUGCAAUUGUUCCCCAUGAACGAGGAAUUCCCAGUAAGCGCGAGUCAUAAGCUCGCGUUGAUUACGUCCCUGCCCUUUGUACACACCGCCCGUCGCUACUACCGAUUGAAUGAUU